rnacentral:lncRNA from 1 species
GAGGUUUGAGCUAUUGCUAAAGGCCUUCCCACACUCUGCACAUAUGUAACGUUUCUCUCCUGGAGCAGGCCUAGCAGACGCUGGUUCUGCCCCUUUCCUGGAUCCCGUGUCUUGAAGAGAGGCUUUUGCCCCUCUCUCCCUUUCCAGGUUGUUGGCCCACUGCCUUUCUGACCUCGAUCCAUACUUAUUGGCAGUGAUCAUGGGCAUGAUGUUUCUUUUGAGUCCACCUGCAUGAGACUCUUCUUCAGAACUUCUCUGCUCAUCUGCUGAGUCCUCCUUCUGCGGAUUCAAUUUAAAACCUGGAAACAGGUGGGUUAAGCGUGUUAGUUGUUCCUUUUCUGAGGGAGCUGUUGCAGGGAACAGGACCACCAGGUGAGGUAGUAGAUGUGACGUGUGAAUCUAACAGCAAUAAAAUAAAACCCUUGUCCCAUCUAUUAUGGUCUGCAUUCACAAGACCCUGCCUGCUAUGUCAAUCACCUGAUUAUUUUACAAUUCAGUCUCUAGAAAGACUCUCCCCACUCCGCCCUCCUGGACGCUUGGGAACAGUCUAAAUUACACUGAGGUUCUGUUUGUGGCUUCACACUCGCUUCUGCAAAGUACUCAGAGCCAACAGUUACGUGAAGAAUUUCUGGUUUUAAGGGUUUCUCAGUCAUGCAGAUAAAGGAAAGUCAAAGCUCAAGUUCUAGCCAGGUAAACGCCAGGUUUCAACGCCUUAGGUUUGACUGAGAUCCACUCAGAGCUCAGACAGACGGGCCAAUUUCCUCUGUACCCUGUGCUACUGGCUUCCUCUUCCCAUCCAGUGCACCUUCUCAGGGCACCUAAGUUUCUUUGAGACUUUAAGCGAGGCCAUCAUUGCCAACUCCUCUCUCUUAAGAGCACUUAAAAGCCUUUUCUCUAAACUGGGCACUAAAACUUUAGUGAUGUAUGUCUUUUAUCCCAGCACUUGGGAGCCAGAGGCAGGCACAUCUCUGUCUUUUGCGGCAGCCUAGUUUACAUAGUUCCAGGCCAGGUAGAGACCAAAACAAAAGACAAAAACAAAAUUAAAAAACAAGUCACAAACACAAAACAGAAUAGCCACAAUGACCCCAUGACAACACAACAACAAACAGCCCAUUUCCAGCUCUGGUAAUACUUCCUGGCUCUCCACUUUGUGUAGAACUGACAAGUGACUAUGAAAAGGGCAAUGAAUGGAAGGAGAUGAUUUACCCUAUUUUAAUUUUUUUUCUUUCAACUGUCAUAAUUUACCCUUAAGUCUUUACAGUUGAAUACAAUUCCAUUGUGUGUGUAUACAUUUUCUUUAUCCAUUGACUCAUAGGCUGCUUCUGUAUUUUGGAUCUAUAUUUGGGAAUAGAGCUGUGGUAAAAAUUGGCCCAUCUCUGUGAUACACGGAUUCACAAUCCUACAGAUAGGAAGCAGGGUACAGUGGUCUUAUCUCUAAUCCCAGCACUUGGGAGAGGUGGAGGGAGGACCAGAAGUUCAAGGUCACCUUCUCUUACUAAGCACUUUUGAGGCCAGUAGCCUACUUUAAUUAAGAAAACAAACAAGUUUUUUGUGUGUGGGUGUUUUGUCUACAUGUAUGUAAGUGUGCUUCGUGCAUGCCUGGUGCUGUGGAGGGCAGAAAAGGGGACCAGCUCACCUGGAACUGCAGUUGUGGACUGUUUUAAGCUACCAUAUGGGUGCUGAGAACUGAAAAUGUUCCUCUGCAAAAGUACCAAGUGUUUGUAACUGUAGACCCAUGUUUCUAGUCACAAUUAUCCCAGUCUUUAAAAGAUUUAUUUUCAUGUAUGUGUGUGUCUCAUUUCUUAUGCCCAUGAAUCUGCCACACAUAUGAGGGUGUCUGCAAAGGCCAAAGAGGCCAUUAGAUCUCUUUAAGUGGGAGUCCCAGGCAGUUGUGAGCAACUGUGUGAAUGUAGGAACUGGACUGAAGCUUUUGUCCUCUGUAAGAGCAGCAACUGUUGAUCUGCUGAGUCAUCUCUCCAAGGAGGAGGAAGGAGAAGCUGCUACAGGUUAGGAGUCAAGAAAACGUGGCCCUGAGAGCCGGCCAAUUAGCUGAGGGUUAUCCAUAGCAAAGUAGAUUCUAGUGGCACAGAGGGGAGGUUUCUGCCCAGCUCUUGUCCUGUCAAGGAAAUUAUUGUAAACAAUAAAAGUUGUGUGUCUUUUAUCUGGGAACUAAAUGGUCAAAGGUAGGGUAGAAACCCCAGAUUGGGAUUAAAAAUUUCAACAAC